UACGUAGGGGGCGAGCGUUAUCCGGAAUUACUGGGCGUAAAGCGCACGCAGGCGGUUCGCCAAGUUUGGGGUGACAGUUGUCGGCUCAACCGACAAAGGACUUCAAAAACUGGUGAACUUGAGGACGAGAGAGGAACAUGGAACUCCAGGUGUAGUAGUGAAAUGCGUAGAUAUCUGGAAGAACACCAAUGGCGAAGGCAAUGUUCUGGCUCGUUUCUGACGCUCAGGUGCGAAAGCCAGGGGAGCGAACGGG
rnacentral:rRNA from 1 species